AUUCAUAUAGUUUAAUUAAAAACUUUUUAUUUUCAUUAAAAAAAAGAAUAUUUAUAUAAUUCUAUGAGUA
rnacentral:tRNA from 1 species